GUCCCUUAAUUUCCUCAUUUCCGCGAAUACCGAGCGUCCAACGUCAAGUCAACUUUAUUCCUGUGAAAUACGUAAGAAAAAAACAUGAUGUGCAAUAUAAACCCACAAUCCUCUCGCUCUCUGUUAUUAAUUAGCGUUCUGUUGUCAUGACAACAUAUCUUGGUGAUUCAGAGUUCCUCUCACCCUGGCAUUUCCGGUUCCCAUUUCCGUUCAGGAGCCAGUGAGUCUUGGUGUGGGACAGGGGAGGCUAGCUGCAUUUAUUCAGUGGUCUGUGCUUCCCAGCAUCCUCAGUGUGCCAGCACAAUAACUUCCUUAUGGUAUAGGUAGUGUUUGAUGAUUUUGCUGUGACUUGAGGUGGGUUUGGAUGACCUCCCGAGCUGUUGCUGGCCUGUCUUGUUCCUGCCAAGCCUGGGCCUGGAGAAGUGCUUAGUUUUAAAAGCCUUAUCGUGCUUCAUGGGAGAGCGAUUUUAUAUUAGUAUGUUAAGUUUUAAUGAUGCUUAAGUGUCAUAAUAAAAUGUCAUUUUUAUAUUCGUG